UUUUACUUCAUGUGUAACUCUGUGUCGUUGUAUCUGUCGAACUACUUUGCUUUAUCUUGGCCAGGUCGCAAUUGUAAAUGAGAACUUGUUCUUUUUUUUUCUUUUUUUUUUAUGUAUAAUCUUUUUAAUUUUUUAUGUAGAAACGAGAGAAGAGGAAGCAUGAUAAGAUCCUUCCUGAGGAGCUCUUCCCAGCCAUCAUCAACCUCAACCAGUUCCUCUCUCCAGAACAUUACAUUGACUACAUCGCCUGGGACAUGGCCCGGUACAGCAAGAGACAUCUGACGUUCUGAGUAGCUCUGGGGUUUCUCGCUUGGAGGCUACCAUGCUGCUCUCUGGAGGGCCAGCCUUCUAAGACAACCACAAAAAAAAAAUUCAAGCAGGAAAGAGAAUGGAAGAAAAGGAUUUUGGGCUCUGCUGGAGAAGAGGCAGGACAAUACUGGUUACUCAGCCAGCCUUGGUUGGCCUGUAACCUUGUCUCCUGUAUGAGAUGUCAGCAUGACCGCUUAUAUAAUCUGUUAUCAGGCUAGUACAGCUAGGUCUUAAUACUGUAUCUCUAGCUUUGAUUAGAUUGCAUCUUGAGUUCAACCCCAUCAAAUCAAGACAUGGAUGGAAAAAACAUUAGCGUAUGAUGCUUUGCAUAAGAGCAUCGGGCUGGACUUGGCAAUGAAGCAAGCCUAGAGUGACUAAAUUGAUAAGCAGAGAAGAUUGGAUGGUAAUCUGGAUGGUAAUGAAAGAGAUGCUAUGAGUAGAGCCUAUGUUCCUCUGGUUGUUAUCAUACAGUGCUUUAGGCCAUUGUGGAAUUGGAGAAUUACUCCUUGAUGCACCUGUCCUAAAUGUGUUCAGAUUCAGAAACUUAAGAGUUGUGCCAUCUCUAGAAAAUUGGAGUAUAAAAGUUCAACAAACAUACUAAACAUACCCUCCUCGGAUGGGGAGACCUUGCUGGAUGUCUCACCUCAAGUGGGCACAUAUCAACUUACUGUUUUCCUGUGGCUUGGCUGCUCCUAGGACGAUGAAAAUAAAACCUAAUAUAACUCAAACGGAAAGCAUUUGCAUUUUUGCGCAGUCCAGGCAGUGCUGAGAAUGUUUUGCAUGUUUAUCCAUUUAAUGUUUCAGAACAAGUUAUCCUGAUUAUUGAUUGUUUUUUCCCCUAAACUGUUUUGUAGCUUAUAUAAAUGAGGAAUGAUGGAUUAAAGAUGUUGUC
rnacentral:lncRNA from 1 species